rnacentral:misc_RNA from 1 species
UUGAAGAACGCAGCGAAAUGCGAUAAGUAAUGUGAAUUGCAGAAUUCAGUGAACCAUCGAAUCUUUGAACGCACAUUGCGCCCGGCAGUAAUCUGCCGGGCAUGCCUGUCCGAGCGUCAUUUCUGCCCUCGAGCGAGUCCAGCAUCUAGGUGCUGGGCCCGCCCGGCGUUGGGGCACUACGGGAAGCCCUGUGCUGUCCCCCGUAGGCCCCGAAAUGAAGUGGCGGUCCUGCCGCGGCGCCCCCUGCGUAGUAUAACAGCUCGCUUCGGGACCCGGUGGAGGCCUGCCGUCAAACCUUACUCUCUAAGUUUGACCUCGGAUCAGGUAGGGUUACCCGCUGAACUUAAGCAUAUCAAUAAGCGGAGGA